AGAACCUUUAAGUCAGUCCCGUGAGGCUGGCAAGGUGUCGUGAAUAAUGGUCGAAUGGUGAAGUGAAAACGGAGAGCCGUCUUUGUCUGUACCCUCCUUGCGAGAGCAGCGGACAAGAGGUUCGGUGCAACACGUUUUCUUUCGUGACUAAUCACAAACUCCUUGCGGACUCCGCAAGGAGUUUUUUUGA
rfam:Paenibacillus sp. 1DrF-4 scaffold33, whole genome shotgun sequence.